AAUAGUGAAGUCAUGAUCCUGUAUUUACGAGAUCACCGUCAGCUGCCAUGGAAAUGUCAUGCACUGAUGUGAUGUCAUAAUUCAGCCAUAUGAUUCCAGCGCAAGAGCAAGUAGGAGGAGCAGAUGGGCUGUGAAGUACAUAACCCUGGCUUAAUACCAAAUAUAUCUGAUAAUUAGCAGAAGUGAUACCACCAUUACAGGAAAAGAUGUGAAAGCCUCUGUGGAAUUCCAGUAUAUUGGCUAAUAGGAAGAAUGGUCAUAAGCAGUUAUAAUGCGGCUGGGAAGGCAGAGUACAAUACUUACAGAACAGAACGAGCAAUGUGCCAAAGAGCCGUAUGAUAAGGAAGAAAUGUGUUUUCGAUCAAGAAAAACCAGUUUAAUGCACUUACUGGGAACACAGUAUUUUACACAGACACUUCUUCACUGGCCAUGUGAAUUUAAGGAACCCUCCUGCUGGUUACUCAGAUUCUUUGCAGACAAUCAGGCCAGAAGCAAAACGUUAUAAAUUCUUAAGGUACUGUACUCAGUGAGAUUUACAUCCUAUUUUAUACAGACCAAAAACAAGAACAGAAAAGAUACCAUGUAAGCAUCUGAACAACCAUACAACAAAUGCCAUUUCAAGCAUCAUUAUGCUGCCUUUCACAGACUUUUACAAGCCUCACUAUGGUUAGCAAUUCCAGCUGACUCGUAAAGCGGUUUUAAAAUUCAUCAUUGAAAAGAAUGUUUAUCUCUGUGUUUUCUCCAGUUCGGGAGUAAAAUUAUACUCUUAAAACCUG